AGUGAACGCUGGCGGUAGGCCUAACACAUGCAAGUCGAACGGCAGCACAGUAAGAGCUUGCUCUUACGGGUGGCGAGUGGCGGACGGGUGAGGAAUACAUCGGAAUCUACUUUUUCGUGGGGGAUAACGUAGGGAAACUUACGCUAAUACCGCAUACGACCUACGGGUGAAAGCAGGGGAUCUUCGGACCUUGCGCGAUUGAAUGAGCCGAUGUCGGAUUAGCUAGUUGGCGGGGUAAAGGCCCACCAAGGCGACGAUCCGUAGCUGGUCUGAGAGGAUGAUCAGCAACACUGGAACUGAGACACGGUCCAGACUCCUACGGGAGGCAGCAGUGGGGAAUUUUGGACAAUGGGCGCAAGCCUGAGCCAGCCAUACCGCGUGGGUGAAGAAGGCCUUCGGGUUGUAAAGCCCUUUUGUUGGGAAAGAAAAGCAGCAGGUUAAUACCCCGCUGUUCUGACGGUACCCAAAGAAUAAGCACCGGCUAACUUCGU
rnacentral:rRNA from 1 species